GUGUCAGCAGCCGCGGUAAUACGUAGGGUGCAAGCGUUAAUCGGAAUUACUGGGCGUAAAGCGUGCGCAGGCGGUUCGGAAAGAAAGAUGUGAAAUCCCAGGGCUCAACCUUGGAACUGCAUUUUUAACUACCGGACUAGAGUAUGUCAGAGGGAGGUGGAAUUCCACGUGUAGCAGUGAAAUGCGUAGAUAUGUGGAGGAACACCGAUGGCGAAGGCAGCCUCCUGGGAUAAUACUGACGCUCAUGCACGAAAGCGUGGGGAGCAAACAGGAUUAGAUACCCUGGUAGUCC
rnacentral:rRNA from 1 species